rnacentral:rRNA from 1 species
UACGGGGGGGGCAAGCGUUGUUCGGAAUUACUGGGCGUAAAGGGCUCGUAGGCGGCCAACUAAGUCAGACGUGAAAUCCCUCGGCUUAACCGGGGAACUGCGUCUGAUACUGGAUGGCUUGAGAUUGGGAGAGGGAUGCGGAAUUCCAGGUGUAGCGGUGAAAUGCGUAGAUAUCUGGAGGAACGCCGGUGGCGAAGGCGGCAUCCUGGACCAACACUGACGCUGAGUGAGCGAAAGCCAGGGGAGCAAACGGG